UCAUAUGUCAUAUGCAAAUGUAAUUUUAUAAUUUUCUUUGGAUUAUUUCAAAAUUAUUCAGAAUAUUCUUUAAACGUAUUAAUAAAUCUUCAAAAAUAAAGGCUAAAACUACUCACCUAAAAAUGUUACAUUAUGCUUUCACAAAUGAACUACAUUUGCUUAAUGAGCACGACUUAUUGUGCGUUGGAUUUAUCGUGCGCGGUGUAAGGGAAUGAUAACAAUGGGUUAGAUAGGAAAAUUGCAGCACUUGUACAAUAUGCGUUCACGUUUACAACGGAGAUAAGAGGAUAAACAGUGAUUAGCAGCACUUGGGACACCUGACGGAACCGGAGCACAUGCUCUUAUUUGAAAUAUGUGUGAAAGUGUGUAAUUAUAUUACUGUUGCCUACAAAUGCAGCAGCAAAAGAAGCAAAAGGUACUUCAAAAAAAUAAAUACGGCUAAAGUAAAUAAACAUAAUUCAACUAGCAAUGAAGUACAAAUGCUCCUGAAUGCUGUAUAUAGAUGUAGCUACAUAUGAUAUAUAAUGGACUGAUAAACACAACUGCAGCAGGCGCAGUCUCUACAGUCAAUUAUAUCCGUUCUUUCACAUAAUCAUUUAUGUUCAAGCUAUUCAUGAAGUUAUCUGGCAAACAUCACUAAUAGCUAGGCAAGCUAGACGCURGUAAAUAUUUCCAAUUAUGUUGAAAUUUAUGAAAAUGCAUUCUAAAAAUUCUUUACUUGCUGCAAU